CUUUAUUUCUUAUUUGUUUGCCUGCUUAAGCAGGUCUGCAGUCACCAGCAUGUAGAUUUAGGGGCGAGGAGGAAAGAGCACACGUCUUCCCCCUUGGUUCUCCCCUUCGAGGGAAGAAAGGGGGCAGUUUCCCUGCCUCUUGGACUCGAAUUCUGGUGAGCUUCUGUCUUGGAAAAGUGUGGUGGAGGCAAACCUGGUGUGUUCGCUCGGGGUCUCAGACUAGUGCUUUUGUUCAGUCUGAGACACGGCCAGAAAUUUCUCCGUGUCCUUAGGUUUUCCCCUGUGGCUGGCAGGCGUUGGAGCCGUUAGCCGGGGACAGCCCAGCUGGUCAUGACAGCUGCCCAAGGGAGCCCCAACGCCUCAGACAAGUCCCCUGGCAGGGAGCGCCCCGGGGCACCUAGGGCACAGGCAGCAGCCAGUGGCACCCAGGGUCACCCCUGAGGUGGGGCGCUGACAUGGUGCCCUGGGGAAAGAGGCCCUGCUGUGUCAGUGAGGUCCUGAAGAAAGAAGCCCCCCCGGGUACGUGGCAGGGGAGUCUCCUCGGGAAGAUGCUGAUCACCCCAUUCUCCUGUGUGGACUCCCAGCCCUGUGCUUCUGGAACCGGCCUUCCCUAGGCUCUGAGCCAGGCCUCCCACCCCACUCCCACCCCAGCCUCCAGGCCACCUCCCCUUUCAAGCCUUUGCCCUCCCAGGUGGGGCUAACACCCCUGUUUCUCCCACAGUGGGGACAGCCUCAUCCGAGGCUAAAGUGUUUUGUGAUCUUUGCUCUGGUGAGCAAGUGCCCUGGUAACGAGGCCGGGGCCGAGGGAAGGCCGAGCUGUCUGCAGCGCCGCAGCGCUGAGGCCACAUCCCGGGCGUCAGUCAGUCAGAAGUCAAAGGCUCAUUCUUCAAGGGCUGCAUCUAACUUCGUCUUUGUGCCGCGGUGCUGCUUCCAUUUCAAAGGCUUCGCCAGCGAAUCAGGCUGUAUACCAAUAAGCACGUGCAAGAAAGUAUUUCCUCCUCAAGCCUGUUCCUCGGGGCCCCUUGCAAAGACCACUCCAGCUUUGCUGGGAAAGACACCCAGUGCCGUGAUCUCGGACCCAACUCCAGGCAGCCCAGGACUCCAGCGCUCAAGGUUGGAUGUGGGAGCCCCAUCUAGCUUGAAUUUUCAAAAAAAUCACACAUACCAUUAAUCAAAAAAAAAAUUUUUUUUUCUGCCUAUUGUUUUCUUUGUUCUGAAGAAGCUACUUAUAAAGUAAAUUUUAUCGGAC
rnacentral:lncRNA from 1 species